AGGAAGCAGAAGAGUUACAAAGGAUCUUCUUUCUCCCACACAGCACAAAGCAUCUUUCAAGGUCACCAUGAGUGCAUACAUUUGCAAUGUAAUGGAAUAUGCAAUUAUUCAUAAAACUAAUUCAUUGGCUAUGGAAAAAGAAACCUUCAAAUAAAUAUAUGGUUGGUGUUUUAAGGUAAGAACAUUAUUCAAAUAAGUGGAUUAUGCUGGCAUUGUUUAACUAGGCUGAGGUUUCUUGCUUUUUUUGUUUGCUUCUUUAAUGUGAUUUGCUAAUUUCAUGCUUCCAGAAUGUCAACAAGGCUAAUAAAAUAGCAAUUUAAGGCCACAUUAAAAGCUGAACUAAAUGGCACCAUUCUACUGAAGACAUUAAAACAAAAUUACAGGGUGUCCUCCUAUCAGAAGGCAUUUUUAGCUUUAAUGUAGAAUGGGGGGGCUUUAUUUCUCUCUCCCCCCUUCUGCCUGGGGCUACUGUAGCUUUGUGGGACUAGAAACCCUGGCCUAUUCUUGCUAAAAUAAUUCUUGUUGGGAUGACUUAAUUCUUUUUUCACUUGAAUAUUCACUUUCUUCUUAGGACAGUCCUUGUAGGAUUUAAGGACAAAUUAAUUGCAUACAGAGACAAUGGGACCAUAUCCUUCACUUUCUUGAUAGGAUCUCACUAGAAGGAAGCUCACCUGAACAUUUAAGGAUGAUAAACUUAUUUUGUCUCUACAGCUAUCAGUGUAUUUAGUGUUGCCAAUGUUUAAGGCUUUGUAUCAGGGUCUUUCCUUCCCACUCGAUCAAACCUGCACACACAAGCCCUGCAGACAAGGUAAGAAUCUCUUACAUACUUCUUUCCUAAUCAAUUUCAUGUAGUUCCCCCACCAAUAUUCACAUUAGUCGGUUGUAGUGUCAUACUUUGGAUAAAUUUAUAAGGUUAUCUUUACAUCAUUUGCCUCGAGUAGUGACAAAAAACAAAAGCCAGUGAAGGACACCAGAAACUUAGGACUUAAAUUCAGAAAACAACUGAAAACACAGCCAAAAGUAAUUUCAAGUGUUUGUUAGUAUUGAUACUAUUUAAAACACUUUCCUACUAGAUGUCUUAUGGUAGCCUCAUGAUACAUUGUUAUGGUAGGAAAAGAUGUUACUUAACUUCACAGGAAGUAAAGUUUAAGUCAGGGGUCCAAUGUGAGAUUUCUUCUAAAAUAAUGACUAGCUAUAAGUCUUCAGGUAGAAUUCUCUGUUUAGGAAAUACGGCAAAAUUCAGUAUUCUUCUUGGACAAAUCAAUUUUACUUUGACUUUAACUAAUGCUAAUCCCAAAUGUUGUUUCUAUGAAUGUGAGCUCUGGUUUUGAGAAUUUUUAUGCAUCUCAGAAAAUUUAAAAGUUGCAGAAGUCUUGUUCUCAUAUCUAAGGAUAACACACAUAUUAAAUUUUGAUCAGUUUUAAUCUCUGUGAUCCAUUGAUCUUGACCACAUUUUAUUACCAUCCCAACCAAUUGCCAUUCACUCUAUUUUUGUAUAGAUGUUUUGAGAUUCACUAACCUAUAAUGUAGGUUAUAAUGACACAGUAGUUUCAUAAAGACUGUCUUUCUAAUUAAUAUUGCAAGUAUAGGAGUAACAUUUGGCAACCUUUAGUACUUUGGACAGAAUUUUACCAAGUAUUCUGGAAAGAAGUAUGUCUAGAAAGAAACAAUUCAGCAAGAUAGGAAUUAAUUCCUCCCAUCUUAUCUGAUCAUUCUUUUAUAUAAGUGAAAGUAACUGCACAGAAAAGCAAUCUAAAUGAAAUCCUAGUGAUCUAAAAAAGCUAAUGUAACAUUACAAAAAUAAUCACAGUAAAUACUGGAUAUUGGUUGCUUAUUAUAGGCUGUCCAUACUUCUAACCCAUUCUAAAGCAUUCUUCCUGAAGAGAGAAUGCGGUUGUAAUCAUUGGCUUCUCUGUUGUUACCCUCAUCCUGACCAAGGGAAGAUAAAGUGAAUUAUCUGAUUGAUAAUUUGUGAUGUGUGCAUGUUGGGCUCAGCUCUGCCCUUUAUUUUGCUUGGGAGCAAGAUUACUCCACAAAAGCCUGUGUUUCCUUCUGCUCCACCCUGUGCUAAAUGUUAUGUAAACUCUCAUCGUGCUCUGUUCCAUCUCUGUCUGUGAUUGGUGGGGAAAAUUUGCCCAAUUCUGGGGUUUACUUAGAAAACUCACUUGGCUCUCUCUCAAAGCCACAUUUUUUCCAUUGACAUUAAGGAUAUGUUGGUCUCCAUAUCUACUCCUUGUCUUAUUUCUCAAAAUGUUCAGAACCUAAGAGAAUAGAGGUGCUAUUCUUUGAGGGCCCCUUUGAAGACCUGAGGUUUGCAACAUUGAAGACAAAAGUGUCCUAACCCAUUUAAUCCAUCCAAAAGCCCUUAAAAUAUUCUUAUUCUCCUUUUACAAAUGAUAAAGCAGAAGCUCAAUAAUUAAAAUACUCAAUGCCGCAUUGUAAAUAGUUGAGCUGGGAUUUGAAUAAAGUCUGCUUGUCUCUAAAUUCCAUAUUCUUAAAUUUCCAAUCUGCUUCCUCAAGGCAUGAAAGGCAUGGAAGAUAUUUGGUUCUCGCUCUCUCAUCUCCCUCACGAGUAAACAGAAUCAGAUAACCAGCUGGAGCAGUCUGAAUCAUAUGGAAACUUGGUAGGUUAGAUACUAUCUGAGGGCGAAAGAAGGGAGGGAGUCAACCUGAGGAGCAUUUUUAACCAAGAUAUAAAAACAACCCAGAUGUCCACUGACUGAUGAAUGGAUGAAGAAAAUGUAUAAACACACAGUGGAAUAUUAUUCAACCUCUAAAAAGAAGGAAAUCCUAUCAUUUGUGACAACAUGGAUGGCCCUGGGAGACCUUAAGCUAAGUGAAAUAAGUCAGUCACAGGAUAAAUACUUCAUGAUUCCUCUUAUAUAAGGCACCUGAAAUUGUCAAAGGUAUAGAAAUAUAUAAUAUAAUGAUGAUUAUCAGGGGAUGGAGGAGGGGGAUUUUGUCCAAUGGGUAGAUAUGCUGUACAACACAGUGCCUAUAGUUAACAAUAAGGUACUGUGCACUUAAACAUUUGUCUAUUUUCUUAAAUGUAUCAAAUAAUCAUCUUUAACACUAGGACUCAGAAAUAUCUUGGACGGUGAUUUGGAUUGCUUUCAGAUUUGGGGCUAUAUCUUUUGACUUUUGUGUUCCUUUCUGACUCUAAAUCAAUAUAGCAAAGCUUUGCUUUUAGGCAAAUUUCACUAAAUGCACACCAGUUACAAUUGAGGUGGAUUUAACUCACUCAUGUUUGUGUCUGAUUCCUAAUUAUAUGUUUCCAAUCACUUAGUUACUUUAAUCAAUUAUCUACUGAAGCAUCGUGGUUCCAGAUGUAAUCUUAACAUAGAAAUUAAAUGAGAGAAAAUGUGGGAUUUGGGACAUUAAGCACACAACUAAUUAAAUCAUAUUGAAUCCAUUGACUUAGGUUUCACUUUAUUAUGAACAUUUAUCUUGAUAUUUUAUUCAAUCAGGAAUGCUAUUUAUGGGUUGAGUGUAUCUGCCCUUAACUUACUUUCACUAUUAUUACAGGGUUAUUUAUACUGGGAAAAUAGAUGAGAUUGAUAAUCAUAAUUCACAUAGACUAAACCUAUAGACCCCAAAUGUUUGAAAUGGUCAUCUGAUUACAUCUACAAGGUAAGAUUUGGGGAGGGAUAUGUGUUGAAUAGGGUUGGUAAAUAUUCGGGGUGCCUGGGUGGCUCAGUUGGUUAAGCAGCUGCCUUCGGCUCAGGUCAUGAUCCCAGGGUCCUGGGAUGGAGCCUUCAUUGGGCUUCCUGCUCAGUGGGAAGCCUGUUUCUCCCUCUCCCUCUCCCUGCCUCUCUGCCUACUUGUGCUCUCUAACUCUCUGUCAAAUAAAUAAAACCUUAAAAAAAAAAAAGAGUUGGUAAAUAUUUGCUUUCUUGACUUUACUAUUGUGUUAUGCGUAUGUUGCAUGUUGCAUGUAUGGUGUUAAUAUUAAUAAUGUAAAGAUUAUAUGAGGCUGUGGAAGACAAAUCUCCUUUUAGAAACUUACCAUGCGAACAGCAAAUAAUAAUCUAAUGCAUAAAAACCUGAAACAUGACAUGUGGAAUCAUAUAGACUUGAGUUAGAAUCUUAGUUCUACCAUGUACUAUGAUUUACUGGAUUUUUCCAAGCCUCAGUUUCCCAUAUGUAAAACUGGGAAUAAUUAUUAUUUCUCCCAACAAUUCACUGGGAGAAUCAAAUGUGAUAAUGAAUGUAAAAUGCUAAGAGCAUUGUGCCUGUAUAUUGUAAGUGCUUAAUACAUUUUUCUUUAGUGAUACUGAUGGAAAAUAUAGAGAAUAUAUGUAAGUGAUUGUCAUGAAUAUCCUAAAAAUUCAUAAAAAUAGUAGCUUAAAUGGAUUUGUUUAGUGUAUCAAAAACUGCAGUAGUAUGUUACACGAGCAAAUAAACUUAAUUGAAACUUAAUCUAUUUAAUUCAAAAUUAAGCCCUAUUUGCAACUUUGCAGUUACCCCAGGAGAAGUGUAGAAUGGUACAUGUUUGUGAUUUAUGCUCACAAGAGCCCUGGAUUCUGAUACUGUUCUCACGGAACCAACAAUAGGAUUAGAGGUUUCUAUUUUGUGGUGGUUGAUAAAAACCCGUCUACAAAGUACAUCCCCUCAUCUCAGUGGUUUGGAAGUUUAAUGUGCAUAAUGAAAACACAUGGUUCUUCAGAUAUGUAAAUUGAAACAAACUUAGAGAUUCUGAUUUAGGUUGUGGCAGUGUGACAAAGAACUGUGAAUUUUUAUAUGUGUCACAGAUAACUCUGAUUUAGGUAGUUAGGAGCAACACUUUGAGAAUCACAGCAAAAUGAUCUCUGCUCUGAGUAUCUUGAUAAUAGAAGCCUAGAAGUCCAGGCUGGAGAGAGAAGAAAUUGGGAUUUGAAGAAGACAGAGGCGGAUUGAAGUACAGUUGGUGUUAAGUCAAAGAUUCCAUCUUUGAAAAUGUAUGACAAUCUAAAGUCCCUGAUUAUGACAUGAAAUGCAUCAAUAAUGGAUUUGGUAGUCACUGAGUGAAGACAGGAGACAAAUGUGAAUGCUUGUGGGUACAAAGGUUAGGAUCGAAAUCAGUAGGUGGUGGGGAUGGUUUGGUGGAUAUAUUGAAAAUGAAAUAAACCACCUAUGAUGGAAGAACAUAGAAUUAAAAUUCCUGUUAUGCCCAUUAAUACAAAGGGCUUCACUUAAGGAUUUAAGUAUCGAAAAUACUUGGGAAAUAUUGAAAUAAAAAAUCUGGAGAAGUUUUGUAGAGAUACAGUAAUUAUCAGUUAUACCAUAUGAAAUUAAUUUUGAAAUUCCUUUAAAAAAUGAUUAAAUCUCUAUUAUGUUUCAGACCCUGGUUAUUUAUCUAUGUACCAUAUCCUAAAGGAAAAGCUUUGAGAAAAUGCCCUCCUUAGGAAAUAUGUACAUUUCAAUACCCAGGUCAAAACUUUCUUACAUUAAAAACAAACAAACAAAAAACUUUUUUUUUAAAUCCAUGUGAAGUUAUUUUUUCCUCAAUAAAGUAAAAAUAAUAAAUUACAUUCAUAGUAAUUUUGACUUAACAUGGGAAAAUUAGAAAUACCUUGGGUUCUUCUAUGCCUUUGAUAUAAAAGUUGCUUUAUCAAAAUAAUCGAUGGUAAGUCAUACAAUAUAAUAUUCUUCACAUGAACAUUUGUGAAAAUGAUUUGUAAACCGAAUGAUAAUAUAAAAAUACAUAUUAUUAUUACGUGCUGUUCCCUGAAUGACACAAGUCAGUACAAAAAAUAUGAUGCAUAAAAAUCAAGCUAAUUUGGACACUGAGGAAAGAACAGUAGGAAUUAUAGUAAAAGAAACAGGGCUUGUUAAAUAUCCAUUACCUGUCAAGCACUGUUUUAUGUACUUGUAUUUAUUAACUUUAAUUCUUUUUUUAAGAUUUUAUUUAUUUAUUUGAGAGAGAAAGCCUGUGUGCGUGAGCAAGACGGAGGAGCAGAGGGAGAGGGAGAAGUGGACUCCCAACUGAGCAGGAAGCCAGACUGGAAUCUCAACUCCAGGACCCUGAGAUCAGGACCUGAACCCAAUGAAGACGCUUAACCAAAUGAGCCACCGGGCAUCCUUAUUAACUUUAAUUCUUAAGCAAGUACUGUAAGGAAGACCUCAUUUCACAAACGGUAACUGAGACACAGAGAUGUGAAGUAACUUGUCAAGGAUACAUAACUUGACCAUGGCAAAACCAAUAUUUAAAUUUAGACAUUCCUGCAUUUUUCAUUAAAAUUCUCAUAAAUAUCUCUAGCAUAUAUUAUGUAUUCAGUGUUUACUUCCGACUGCAUACAGAAACAAAUAAGUAGCUAUGAAAUGUGUGAUGGUCUCUUUAAAAAGGGGGUCGAUAGUGGGAUUUGGAAUUCCUCAUUUCAUAUAUAUAUAUAUAUAUUUUUUUUUUUUUGAUCAUGUAUGUGAGAGUUUAUUUCCUGGCUCUCCAUUCUAUUUUACUGGUUUGUAUGCCUGCCGCAUUGCCAAUAAUACCCUGUUUUGAUUAUUGUGACUUUGCAGUGAAUUUUAAAAUCAGGAAGUGUGAAACAUCCAAUUUUGUUCUUUUUGAAGUCUAUUUCAGGGGCUCUUGAAAAUUGUAGGUAAUUUUAGGUAUUUCAGGGCUUCCAUAUGAAUUUUAGAAUGGAUUUUUCCUUUUCUGCAAAAAAAUCUUUGGAAUUUUGAUAGGAAUUGCAUUUUAUUUGUAGAUGGCUUUGAGUCAUAUUGACAUUUUAAUAAUUAUAUAAUA